CCGCCGGGUGAGCCCCCAAAUUCGUCAGUUUCGUGACCUCGGCUCGGCAUCUACUUUUUUAAUAGUGGAUAUUAUUAAAGAAUAUAUUUUGAUAUUAUAGUCACAACUCGUCAAUCGAAAAAAAUGCAUAUAAGCUCAAAAAAUGGAAAAAAGGUGCCUAAAAUCUUUUUUUUUUCUUCACGGAGGUUGUCCAAUCACUGUGCAUGUAUCAAGUAAAUGUUACAGCGCCUCAAGCUUUUUAGCCAAUCACAGGCAGUGUUGUGCACGUACCACUGGCGCGCGCUAUUUCGAGCUUCAGGUGUAGUAAUCUGUCGUCAACAACUGAAUGUUUCAGAGGAAAACACAGGUUUUUGCUGUAUGCAUACAAUUUUGACUCAAAGUAAGGUGAUAUCUUUCAGUGGGAAGAGUUACAGAAAAUUCAAGGAGUGAGCAGAUCUUUGGAAGGACGUCAGUUUUGGGUUUGAACUAGAAAACAAAAUUGCUGCGAUUGCGGUCAACUUCGACUUCGACUCGUUCGAGCUGCAGACAGAGCAGUACUCGCCCGGCGCCUCGGGCGGCCGGCGGAGGAGUGUACCAGGCCAGGGAGGUGUUCGAGCUGCAACAAGUUCAACAAAAAAGAGGUAUGUCCAACCAGGAUACCAUGCGGGCUGCUACAGGCACUUCUGCAACAUUACAACAAACAAGUGAGCACAGAUGACAUCAAGGCAAAUAAGGAACAAUAUUUAACUCAUUGUAUGUCACAUUACUUGUAAAUGUAAAGCUUUUUUAGGAAAUUCAAUGUAAAGACCUUUCUUGUGAUGCUCUAUUUUGCCAAUUUCCGUCAGAUUCGAUAAAACAGAUAACUUUUAUUAAAUGGUAUUUGGAUAAAUGUAUGAAAUUACCUGCUGGAAAUUUUAAAGAACAUGAUUUAGAUAUAUUAGACUGAAGAAGAAUAGCAGAGGCUGGGACCCUGUCAUCCAUGAAUUUUUAAAUUUUAUUUACAAUGUAUAUUUUAUGUGUGUUUUUGCUAAUACAUACCGGUACAUACAUGUAGUAAUGCUUUUUGAGCAAUUGCUUGAAGGAAUGUUUGUUAUUGAAAAUAUUACUUGUAAAUGUAAAGCCUUUUUUGGAAAUUCAAUGUAAAGACCUUUAUUGCGAUGCUCUAUUUUGCCAAUAUCCGCCAGAUUCGAUAAAGCAGAUAACUUUUACUAAAUGGCAUUUGGACAAAUGUAUGAAAUUACCUGCUGGAAAUGUUAAAGAACAUGAUUUAGAUAUGUAUAUUAGGCCUGAUGUAUAUUAGACUGAAGAAGAAUAGCAGAGGCUGCGACCCUGCCAUCCAUGAAUAUAUAAUUUUUAUUAUCUAUAAUGUAUAUUUUAUGUGUAUUUUUGCUAAAACAUACAUACAUGUGAUCGCUUGAAAGAAUGUUUGUUAUUGAAAAUAUUUCAAUGUGAAUUGACAAUGUGCUGUAUAACUGAUGAUGAAUCAUUUCUCUACAUCAACCCAAAGAGCAGUAUCCAUGUAGUCAAGCAGGCUUACAAUUUUAUUGACCAUGUAUUUUGAGAAUAUGAGAUAGUAAUAUGUCAUAUAUUUGAUGUGAAACCAGAUUAUAAUUGGUCAAACAUGCCUUACAAA